rnacentral:rRNA from 1 species
AAAUUGAAGAGUUUGAUCAUGGCUCAGAUUGAACGCUGGCGGCAGGCCUAACACAUGCAAGUCGAACGGUAACAGGAAGAAGCUUGCUUCUUUGCUGACGAGUGGCGGACGGGUGAGUAAUGUCUGGGAAACUGCCUGAUGGAGGGGGAUAACUACUGGAAACGGUAGCUAAUACCGCAUAACGUCGCAAGACCAAAGAGGGGGACUUUCGGGCCUCUUGCCAUCGGAUGUGCCCAGAUGGGAUUAGCUAGUAGGUGGGGUAACGGCUCACCUAGGC